UACAGAGGGUGGCAAGCGUUGCUCGGAUUUACUGGGCGUAAAGCGUGCGCAGGCGGUUAUGUAAGACAGUUGUGAAACUCCCCGGGCUCAACCUGGGAACUGCAUCUGUGACUGCAUAGCUAGAGUACGGUAGAGGGGGAUGGAAUUCCGCGUGUAGCAGUGAAAUGCGGUAGAUAUGCGGAGGAACACCGAUGGCGAAGGCAAUCCCCUGGACCUGUACUGACGCUCAUGCACGAAAGCGUGGGGAGCCAAACAGG
rnacentral:rRNA from 1 species